CUGACCCAUCAGUCCAAAUACUUAAUUAAAAGAAUUAAGUGUUGUCUAGUUGGUCUAGAAUUGUGAAUUAAGACCUAUGACAAUUGCAUAAACUUGUGGGUCAAUGGGUUAGAUGAAUUAGAUUCAUAAUUGGGUUAGACCUAAGGUUAGCUUAAAGCAAUGGAUUAAAUUAGAGUAAUUGGUCAAAUCUAAUCAAAAGUUAAAUUAGAUUAGGUCAAGGAUACUCUAGACUCAACUCCAAUAGUUAUAGUUGAAUGGGUCCAUGUCUUUAACUAGACCAAGAUGGACUUAAUUCA
rnacentral:lncRNA from 1 species